GGGCCCGCACAAGCGGUGGAGCAUGUGGUUUAAUUCGAUGAUACGCGAGGAACCUUACCAGGGCUUAAAUGUAACGGGACAGAUCUAGAGAUAGAUCCUUCUUCGGACUCAUUACAAGGUGCUGCAUGGUUGUCGUCAGCUCGUGCCGUGAGGUGUCAGGUUAAGUCCUAUAACGAGCGCAACCCCCAUCGUUAGUUGCCAACGAGUAAUGUCGGGAACUCUAACGAAACUGCCGGUGCAAACCGUGAGGAAGGUGGGGAUGACGUCAAAUCAUCACGGCCCUUACGUCCUGGGCUACACACGUGCUACAAUGGUCGGUACAGAGAGCAGCCACUACGCGAGUAGGAGCAAAUCUUCAAAGCCGAUCUCAGUUCGGAUCGGAGUCUGCAACUCGCCUACGUGAAGGCGGAAUCGCUAGUAAUCGC
rnacentral:rRNA from 1 species